CCCCCUGGGGGCGUUCAAAAAUUGCGUAUGACACCCAUGUUUCAGGGGCCAUCGCGGGCAAUUGGGAAAAGUUUUCAACCAGCAAUCUCGGCAGAGCCUCAUUGGUCACGUUAUCGCCUCUGCGCAAAGCU
rnacentral:snRNA from 1 species